ACAAGCGGAGGAGCAUGUGGUUUAAUUCGAUGAUACGCGAGGAACCUUACCUGGGCUCGAACGUAAGAUGACUGUAGGUGAAAGCUUACAUCUCUUCGGAGCAUUUUACGAGGUGCUGCAUGGUUGUCGUCAGCUCGUGCCGUGAGGUGUCGGGUUAAGUCCCAUAACGAGCGCAACCCCUACCUUUAGUUGCCAUCAGGUUAAGCUGGGGACUCUAAAGGAACUGCCUACGCAAGUAGUGAGGAAGCGGGGAUGACGUCAAAUCAGCACGGCCCUUACGUCCAGGGCUACACACGUGCUACAAUGGCCGAUACAGAGGGCAGCUACCUGGUGACAGGAUGCAAAUCUCCAAAGUCGGUCUCAGUUCGGAUCGGAGUCUGCAACCCGACUCCGUGAAGUUGGAUUCGCUAGUAAUCGCGCAUCAGCCAUGGCGCGGUGAAUACGUUCCCGGGCCUU
rnacentral:rRNA from 1 species